AUUAGAGUUUGAUCCUGGCUCAGGACGAACGCUGGCGGCGUGCCUAACACAUGCAAGUCGAGCGAUGAAAUCCCUUCGGGGAUGGAUUAGCGGCGGACGGGUGAGUAACACGUGGGUAACCUGCCUCAAAGAGGGGGAUAGCCUCCCGAAAGGGAGAUUAAUACCGCAUAACAUUAGUUUUUCGCAUGAAGAACUAAUUAAAGGAGCAAUCCGCUUUGAGAUGGACCCGCGGCGCAUUAGCUAGUUGGUGAGGUAACGGCUCACCAAGGCGACGAUGCGUAGCCGACCUGAGAGGGUGAUCGGCCACAUUGGAACUGAGACACGGUCCAGACUCCUACGGGAGGCAGCAGUGGGGAAUAUUGCACAAUGGGCGAAAGCCUGAUGCAGCAACGCCGCGUGAGUGAUGAAGGCCUUCGGGUUGUAAAGCUCUGUCUUUGGGGACGAUAAUGACGGUACCCAAGGAGGAAGCCACGGCUAACUACGUGCCAGCAGCCGCGGUAAUACGUAGGUGGCGAGCGUUGUCCGGAUUUACUGGGCGUAAAGGAUGCGUAGGCGGAUAUUUAAGUGAGAUGUGAAAUACCCGGGCUUAACUUGGGUGCUGCAUUUCAAACUGGAUAUCUAGAGUGCGGGAGAGGAGAAUGGAAUUCCUAGUGUAGCGGUGAAAUGCGUAGAGAUUAGGAAGAACACCAGUGGCGAAGGCGAUUCUCUGGACCG
rnacentral:rRNA from 1 species